CGCCUACGGGAGGCAGCAGUGAGGAAUAUUGGUCAAUGGGAGAGAUCCUGAACCAGCCAAGCCGCGUGAGGGAAGACGGCUCUAUGGGUUGUAAACCUCUUUUGUCGGAGAACAAAACCCGGGACGAGUCCCGGACUGCGUGUAUCCGAAGAAAAAGCAUCGGCUAACUACGUGCCAGCAGCCGCGGUAAUACGUAGGGGGCAAGCGUUAUCCGGAUUUACUGGGUGUAAAGGGAGCGUAGACGGCUGUGCAAGUCUGAAGUGAAAUGCCGGGGCCCAACCCCGGAACUGCUUUGGAAACUGUAC
rnacentral:rRNA from 1 species